GGUUUUCCCUUUCUCGCCGAAAACUUUCGUUCCUUUCUCCUCUUCCUCCCGACGCGAGCGGCGUUUCUGUGCUUGGGCGAAAUCGAAGCCGAGUUAGGUUUCCUCCCUCUGGUAGCCGGUGAAGGCUUUCUUUCGGCGGACCUUGCUGGUUUCGAACCUCCCGUCGAAGAGAAUGCGUGGACACAAGGAGAACGCCGAAAUCUCAAGCUUUACCCGAUCCCUAGCUGCCUUUCUUCGGUUGUAAGUGCAAGAACAAGGAAUAAAAGAUAUGAAAGGGAGGCGACAGGGUGGUGGUGGCGAUGAAGGUGUGUGAUGACUGGACUAUGGAGAGAUCCAGAGUUUGCUAGCAAACCUUCAGGACCUAUAUGUUUAGAAUAAAAGAUAUGAAAGGGAGGCGACAGGG